UAGUGGCAGACGGGUGAGUAACGCGUGGGAAGCUACCUUGUGGUAGGGGACAACAGUUGGAAACGACUGCUAAUACCCUAUGAGCCCUAUGGGGGAAAGAUUUAUCGCCAUGAGAUGUGCCCGCGUUAGAUUAGCUAGUUGGUAAGGUAAUGGCUUACCAAGGCGACGAUCUAUAGCUGGUCUGAGAGGAUGAUCAGCCACACUGGGACUGAGACACGGCCCAGACUCCUACGGGAGGCAGCAGUGGGGAAUAUUGGACAAUGGGGGCAACCCUGAUCCAGCCAUGCCGCGUGUGUGAUGACGGCCUUAGGGUUGUAAAGCACUUUCAGCAGUGAAGAUAAUGACAUUAACUGCAGAAGAAGCCCCGGCUAACUUCGUGCCAGCAGCCGCGGUAAUACGAAGGGGGCUAGCGUUGUUCGGAAUCACUGGGCGUAAAGAGUACGUAGGCGGACUGAUAAGUUAGGGGUGAAAUCCCAAGGCUCAACCUUGGAACUGCCUUUGAUACUGUCAGUCUUGAGAUCGAGAGAGGUGAGUGGAACUCCGAGUGUAGAGGUGAAAUUCGUAGAUAUUCGGAAGAACACCAGUGGCGAAGGCGGCUCACUGGCUCGAUACUGACGCUGAGGUACGAAAGCGUGGGGAGCAGACAGGAUUAGAGACCCUGGUAGUCCACGCCGUACACGAUGAAUGCUAGUUGUCAGGUAGCUUGCUAUUUGGUGACGC
rnacentral:rRNA from 1 species